rnacentral:rRNA from 1 species
UUUUGAUUAUAAUUUAAGGUUUGACCUGCUCAAUGAUGUUUUAAAUUGCCGCGGUAUUUUGACCGUGCAAAGGUAGCAUAAUAAUUAGUUUUUUGAUUGAAAGCUGGAAUGAAUGGUUGGACGAGAAAUUAACUGUCUCAUUUUUAAUUUUUUAUUGAAUUUAAUUUUUUAGUUAGAAGGCUAAGAUUUUGUUUAAAGACGAGAAGACCCUUUAGAGUUUAAUUUUUAAAUAGUAUAUUUGUUUAGGAAUUUUUUUAAAUGUGUUAUUUAAAAAUUUGGUUGGGGUGACUUGAAGAAUUGUAGAACUCUUUUUUAUUUAAUCAGUGAUUUUUGAAUGUAUUAUCUAGGUUUCUUAAAUUUAAAAUAAAUUACCUAAGGGAUAACAGCGUAAUUUU